CCUACGGGAGGCUGCAGUGGGGAAUAUUGGACAAUGGGCGAAAGCCUGAUCCAGCCAUGCCGCGUGUGUGAAGAAGGCCUUCGGGUUGUAAAGCACUUUCAGUGGGGAAGAAAGCCUUGGGGCUAAUACCCUCGAGGAAGGACAUCACCCACAGAAGAAGCACCGGCUAACUCCGUGCCAGCAGCCGCGGUAAUACGGAGGGUGCGAGCGUUAAUCGGAAUUACUGGGCGUAAAGCGCGCGUAGGCGGUCUGAUAAGCCGGUUGUGAAAGCCCCGGGCUCAACCUGGGAACGGCAUCCGGAACUGUCAGGCUAGAGUGCAGGAGAGGAAGGUAGAAUUCCCGGUGUAGCGGUGAAAUGCGUAGAGAUCGGGAGGAAUACCAGUGGCGAAGGCGGUCUUCUGGACUGACACUGACGCUGAGGUGCGAAAGCGUGGGUAGCAAACAGGAUUAGAUACCCUAGUAGUC
rnacentral:rRNA from 1 species